GGAUGGAACGCAGCCCGGGCGCAUAGACCGUUGGGCCGCGCGGAGGGAACGCGACCAGGGCAAAUAGAACGUUGGCCCGGGCGGAUGGAACGCAGGCCCGGGAUCGUUGGCUGCUGCCUUCCACUGGCUGCUUUCGCCUGCUGCUAGCCCGUCAGGCGCGGUGGCCAAGUGGCUCUGGACCAUCUGCCGGAAAUCCAGGCGUGGAACCUUCCAAAUGAGGACUGGGGAGAGCAGUUGGGGGAUUCAUUUUCUGGCCCUGCAGUCGGGCGGGACAAGGGCUCAGGGACAGAGCUGUGGCUGGCAGAUCAGAGGAGUGUGUAGGUGACAGACAGAAAGAAGAGGAAGGCCCAGUGAGCUGCUGCCGCAUAGAUUGUGGAGCCAGCCCGGAUGACAAGCCGGGAAACCUGAAGAAUGUCUUCUCCCUCUCGGCCAAUGGCGAUGUUGCCCAGAGUAGAGGAGCUGUCCCUGCAGGGUAGAUCUUGUUUCAGCACAAAGUGGGGUAGGCUCCCUGCUCUCUGUACCCCCCAAGAUCUAUGGGCGUCGGUCCACCAAAUCCUCAGCCCUCCAGACCCCUCCCACCAAUGGGCAUGGGUCUAGGAAACCUCUCUGAGGCUCACCUUGCUGAGUUUCCCUUCCUGCGGGUUUUUCUGCAGGAGGGAACUGCUCUGGUUCAGUGACGCAGCUGGAAAGAAUGAUAAAAUGAAUAACACUCUGUCUCCUAAGAAGCAGUAUUGUUUUCCUGUUACCACAAUGGCAACUGCUGGAGAGGCAAAAUAAGCCUCCGAUUCAGCAAGUAAUCUCUCUGGCUUUUGCACCGCACGAGGCCAUGGGAGCCCCUGGAAUUUGACCUCCUCAGCUUUGCAUAGGCUUGGACAUAUUUUUUUCGCGCUGAAUGGCAGCAGUUGCUGCGCUGAACUCCAGCGAGAUGCCAGUUUAAGUUCCAAUUGGUAUGAGUGUAACAAAGCUUCAAUUAUGCCAAAUGUUUUAGUUCCCCCUAAGGGGCUACUUAUAAUCUCAUCUCCUCACCAGUACGUCUGACCUCUGCAGCAACAGGCCUGCACAUUUUAGGAGCUCCACUCCACCAUGUUACCGAGGCUAGGUCUCAGCCAGCAUUAGAAUUACCGCAGAGGAUGUUAAAGCUUCCGACUCCUCUUUGUGACUGUAGAAUUAAUGGAAAAAAACAGAGGUUCAGGGCCCAGUCCUGUAAACUUUGCACACAGGAGUAGUUGACAACAGGAGGGAGCACGGAUUACCCCGGUGAGUAAGGAUUUGCAAGAUCAGGACCAUAGUUUUUACUUUCAUGAGGUGUACAUUAGGGUAUAACUCCACAGAAGCCAGUGAAAUUGUAUGGCUGCAAAGACAAUGUAAACGAGAUCAGAGUCAGGCCUGGGAUGACUAACAGCUUCCAAAUUAUUAGUCCUCAUGUCUGAAUGGAGAACUAUUUCCUUUGCAUUCAGUACAAAACAAUACAGCUCCCCUGAAACAACAUGAAGAUUAUGAGGACAAAGCCAGGAUCCAGAAUUCCCAGUGAUGCACCACAUCAGCAGUAUAAAAAGCGCAUAAACUACAAACUUUCUGACUUUUAGAGUUUGUAUUGUUUUCCACCAUCUAAAGGAUACUGGACCAAAUCCAUCCCUGUACUAACAGUGACACCAGGAGCGACUUUGGCCCAAUAGUACUAAUAUCUUGGUUGAUUUGGGGCAAUGAUAUUAAACUGCAGCAUUGAACAUGUAGGAUAUUCCCUUUUUACAGAUGGGGAGAAAAGGCUGGGAGGGUCUGAACACACAGUCUGUCUCCUUACUGCCUCUGAAAUGUGCAUCAUAAAUCUUCAUGUGAAAUA